GAACUCCCCGCCGCUCAGCGUUAAUAGAUAAAGUGUUAAUCUUCAGUCUGACACCUUGAAACACCCUAAAUGGACACGGAUAAUAGAAAAAAAUAAAGAAAAAGAGGUGGGUGUCAGGUGGGCACUCGGAGGAAGGAGUGUAAACAGAGGUGGUUCAUCGGCGCCACACACACUUCUUAUUUUCGCCUUUUUUCUAUGUUCCGCGUCUUGUUGAACACCCCGCCGCUCAGUGUUUAUAGAUAAAGUGUUAAUCUUCCCUCUGACACCUGGAAACACUUAAUUGGAUGCGUAUAAGACAAGAAAACUGAAGAAAAGAAGUGGGGUCUCAGGCGGGCAAGGAGUGUAAACAUAGGUGGGUCUUGGACGCCACACACACCUCUUAUUUUCGCCUUUUUUCUAUGUUCCGCGGCUUGUUGAACACCCCGCCGCUCAGUGUUUAUAGAUGAAGUGUUAAUCUUCCCUCUGACACCUGGAAACAUCUCAAAUGGACGCGUAUAAGACAAGAAAAUAAGAAAAGAAGAGGACUGUCACAGCGGGCGGACCGAAUACGGUAGUGUAAACAAUCAUUUCUUUUUUUAUUUCUCUUAUUUUCUCUCGUCCCUUCGCUCCCUCGUGUGACUGACGGCUCGUGAUGCAUAAAGGGUGCUUCUGGGGUGCUGUGGGGGGCGGGGGGGCGCAGGGGGGCGAAAAUAACGGUAAAAUAAGGAAAAAUAUGACUGGGGUGGCGGGGUGAGACCGUGUGGGGUGACGUAACACAUUUCUGGAUCUCGUGUUUUAUGGGGAGGUUAACUGGGGUGCGGGGGUGCUGGGGUGAGGGGGGGGAGAGGGAGGAUUGAGGACGCAAGGGAACAUGCCAGUCACCCCAGGGGAAGUCCAUGGGGGAGGGAAACUAUAUAUAGAGUGUGACAUAGGUAACAAAACAAAAUUUCUCCCCCAGGGGUUUUCUUAUUCACUGGGGAGCUGGGCCGGGGAGGAAUGGCCACAGGGGGAGACGAGGGCAGAUCCAUUACCUUAGGGGGUCCAGGGGGGAGGGAAAUAAGGGGAAGAACUGGGGAGUGACAAGUAAAUCUCUCCCCAUGGGUUUUACUGGGUACUAGGGAACUGGGGAAGGAAGGGACGGGGGGAAGGAAG